AACAGGAUUAGAUACCCUGGUAGUCCACGCUGUAAACGAUGUCGAUUUGGAGGUUGUGCCCUUGAGGCGUGGCUUCCGGAGCUAACGCGUUAAAUCGACCGCCUGGGGAGUACGGCCGCAAGGUUAAAACUCAAAUGAAUUGACGGGGGCCCGCACAAGCGGUGGAGCAUGUGGUUUAAUUCGAUGCAACGCGAAGAACCUUACCUACUCUUGACAUCCAGAGAACUUUCCAGAGAUGGAUUGGUGCCUUCGGGAACUCUGAGACAGGUGCUGCAUGGCUGUCGUCAGCUCGUGUUGUGAAAUGUUGGGUUAAGUCCCGCAACGAGCGCAACCCUUAUCCUUUGUUGCCAGCGGUUCGGCCGGGAACUCAAAGGAGACUGCCAGUGAUAAACUGGAGGAAGGUGGGGAUGACGUCAAGUCAUCAUGGCCCUUACGAGUAGGGCUACACACGUGCUACAAUGGCGCAUACAAAGAGAAGCGACCUCGCGAGAGCAAGCGGACCUCAUAAAGUGCGUCGUAAUCCGGAUUGGAGUCUGCAACUCGACUCCAUGAAGUCGGAAUCGCUAGUAAUCGUAGAUCAGAAUGCUACGGUGAAUACGUUCCCGGGCCUUGUACACACCGCCCGUCACACCAUGGGAGUGGGUUGCAAAAGAAGUAAGUAGCUUAACCUUCGGGAGGGCGCUUACCACUUUGUGAUUCAUGACUGGGGUGAAGUCGUAACAAGGUAACC
rnacentral:rRNA from 1 species